GAAAUUCACCUGGGGGUGGGGUUAGGGGUUGUGUUAAGGGGAGAAAUGUUAGCAGAGAUAUGAAUUGUAUUGCAUUGUGUAACUGUGUUUUGUUAUUGUAAACCGUUCACAAAGCCCGGGAGCUGGGAACGGUGUAUGAAGAUUGUAAAAUAAAAUAAAAGUGCUGGCGGUACGGCGGAGCCCCUACGAGGAUCCAAAGGCAAGAACGUCUUCCAUCACCCAGAAGCGUGGCGGUCCUGUCCGGCCGUGGACCGAAGGCACGACUUGGCCCGUUGUGGCGCUCAGCAGCUCCUGGUUGGAAACGAGAAGGUUGAAGAGUGUCUCGCGCUUUGAGGCUGUUGGAAGGGCUGCUGUUUCCUUGGAGGGAAGUGAAAGAGAGGUAUCUGCCCGCCAUGGUGCUGGAUAUGAAGCAUUCCACCAGGCAGCCUGUGGAAAAGAGGAGGACGGCAAGAAGAGAUGUGAGCCGAGGCAAGAGUUCUGCGCCCCCGUCAGGAUGCCGCUGCCUAUCAGGACGGUGGAGGCGAAGAAGGUGGGUAUCGCAAGCACUUCAUAAACAUGCUUUCUUAGGAAGGUCAGGUUGGAGCUUGAAUUACCCCACACCAGGCAAGCCGCCUCUUUUUGGGGUGGCAGAGUUGGCAAGAGUUUCUUUCAGUGCUUGGCCCGAAGCCCCUUCCAGGGGUUGCUCUUUCUUGAGCUGCUGGUGGCCAGCUUCCCCUUCAUGGGGGGGUCUGAGCCGAGUGCCAGAUUAGACUCGUGGCGGGGAAGCCUCUUUAUGAGGUGGGGCCCAUGUUGGAGAUUUCCAGCCACGCCAGGCCAGCUUCCCCUUCAUGGGGAGGCCGGAGCCAAGUGCCAGAUGAGACUCGUGGCAGGCCAGCCUCUUUAUGAGGUGGGGCCCAUGUUGGAGAUUUCCAGGCACGCCAGGCCAGCUUCCCCUUCAUGGGGAGGCCGGAGCCGAGUGCUAGAUUAGACUCGUGGGGAGGCCUCUUUAUGAGGUGGGGCCCACGUUGAAGGGAUUUUGUGCCACGCCAGGCCAGCUUCCCCUUCAUGGGGAGGCCGGAGCCGAGUGCCAAGUUAGACUCGUGGCGGGGAAGCCUCUUUAUGAGGUGGAGCCCACGUUGAAGGGAUUUUGUGCCACACCAGGCCAACUUCCCCUUCAUGGGGAGGCCGGAGCCGAGUGCCAGAUUAGAUUCGUGGCGGGGAAGCCUCUUUAUGAGGUGGGGCCCAUGCUGAGGCGUUUUCCAGUCCCAUCACACCAGGUACCCCUUUAUCGAGAGGACUGAGCGCAGCGCUGGAGUCUGCCUGUGCCAGGGAAGUGUUGCUUCAUGCAGAGCACUCGACUUGACCUUCCCAGCAUGAUUUCUUGGCUGGGUUUGGACAGAGCUUGCAUCCCUCUUCAAGGGGAACAGCCAUGGUGGUAGUUGAGCGGAUAGUGGCUCAGCAAGCCAGCCCUUCAUGGGCAAUGCCUUGGUCCGUUGAAAGAGCGAGCUCCUACAGCAUUGGGAAGAGAAGGAAAGGGUCCUGGGCCAGCAUGCGCGAGCAGCCCCUUUGCACGAGGGGUCAAGUCAACACCUCCCCGCUCGGCACUGCGAAUUGUGCCUGCUGGCAGCGGUGCUGUAUGAAGAGGGUGCGGUCGGAGGCGGCUCCUUUGGCCAGAGACACCAGUGCCGCUCACUUGAGGCCCUGUCUGGACAGGCAGGGUGGGGUGCAGUUCACCUGUUGGACUGCGGACCAGGCAGAUCUGCCUUUGUCCCCGUGGUGUAGCCGCGAAGCUGAGUGGGGAUUUGGCCCCACAGGGUGGUUGCCGUGAAGGCUUAGUGGGGGAGGAAAAGCAGCUUGCGUAUGCAGUGCUGACGGGAAAUGCCUCCUGGCAAGAGAGCUGCUGCUCGGAAUUCUUCUCAAGGCAGGCGAGCAGCCUCUGUGUGGGGACGAGUGUGGGUUGAAGGGGAGCAAGGGCUGUGUCCUCCUCACGGGGACAGCUCAGCGCAGUUCUGGCUUAGAUUCAUGCCUGGCAGGUUCCCUCGCCAUGAGACGGAUCAGCUUAGUCCUCAGAUGGAUGCGUGGCAGGCCGCUGCACGCUUCCCCGCAUUGGGCAAGGGGAGACCUCCCUUGGAAAGAGUCCCAGCCUUGCCCGCCCUACAGGGUUGCUGCUGUGAGGAUAAGAAAGAGCCUGGAGAGCCCCCUUGGCUUUCUCAGGAGAGGUAAAGGGCCCAAUCUAAAUGCAGAGCUCUGCUGCUGCUGCUGCUCGUCUCGCCCUAGUCCACUCUUGGCCAGGCGUCUCUGCUGUAAGAAGAGGCAGCUGUUAAUACCCCCUUCUCCCAGGCUGUGGCCGUUGGCCCCUGGAUGCCCCAGCCCUGCAGUUGCCCGCACUUGGGAAGUCGCGACCUCCUUUGCAAAUUGUAUUUGUAAAUACGGAACGAGAAAUCCUUCUCCACUUUGAUGGCAGCCUCAGUCCCCUGGGGAGAAGGUUGACGCUUCCUUGUUGCAACAGGAACUGUUGACUGACAUCCCCGAGGGCUUCUGGGUUGAGGCUCCUGCAGAGACAGGCCUCCCUGCAAGUGCUAGCCCCGUUAAACUCAAAGUGGAAAAGGGGGUCUGGCUUCCUUGCGUGGCAUAGAGGCUGCUUCCCCGCAGGCCUGAGGGGGCGUUGCUCUGCUGGUAGGACUCCUUUUCAGCUCGAGGCGUUGCGGUGCGCCCCACCAGCCGCUAAGAAAGCAAAAGCCUGUUUUGAAGCCCUGACUCUGUGUC